ACUAUUGGUUCUCAUGUAUAUCUACUUACUUUCUUUUGUGUGUUUAUUCAUAAUGGCCAGCAGGUCAGUGAAAUAUAUUCGGACGGGGACUUUAAGCCAUUUGAUGCAAUUGCUUCUACUUACAAUUCAUUUGUUCCACCUUCAACAUGAUAUGAAAAGCCAUGCCGCCACUUCCCAGCCAUCUGAUACAUUUUUCAUAAAAGCUUGCAAGUUGACGGACAAGUCCAAAAGGCAAAUUAACCAACUUGUAUAUAUUAGGAGUGUGGUGUGUGCACCAAGUAUUUGUCGCAAAGUUUAUCUACGACUAGCUAGUGACAACAUCUCUACCGGGAAGACACAGUGCAGGCCAGCGGGAAUGGAGAGCUAGCAGUAAGCAGUGUUGAUCCCAAGCCUUAUACUUUUCUACAUAGCACGGUGUAAGUUUUAUCACUUUUUUUCCAGUCUACUCAAACUAUGCUCAGUAUAGACAACUGGCUAGCUUUUGCUUUUUUGAGAAAAAAUAUAGUAUGGUACAAAAAUGCUUUGUUUUAUGGUUUCUGCCCCGAAACCAAUGCCAGUAGCCAUUUGACAUGGUGCAAACUCAGUUCUACUACAUAUUAUGCGGAACUGUGGUAAAUGAAAAUGUGAAAUUGAUGUCCA